UAAAAAAUUUUGUGGUACUCCAGAA
rnacentral:piRNA from 1 species